rnacentral:rRNA from 1 species
CGCCUGGUUUAUCAAAAACAUGGCUCCUUGAAUAUCAUGAGGGGUCGUGCCUUCCCGGUGAGCUUGCGAGCUUAAACGGACGCGGUAAAGCGUGCUAAGGUAGCUAAAUUAUGGCCUAUUAAUUGUAGGUCCUGUGAAUGGUUUGACGAGUUUCCAACUGUCUCUAAUUUUUUUUGGUGAACUUGAAUUGGAUGUGCAAAUGCUUCCAUGGGUAAGAAAGACGAGAAGACCCCGUGAAGUUAGAAAUUUUAGCUAUUGAGGCCUUUUAACUAUGAAGUUAAGUGUUAAAGGUUAUACUUUGUUAGGUGAAUAGUGACAGUUUUGGCUGGGGCAGCAAAAGAGCAAAGUCAGACUCUUUUAGUUUUAUGUGACUGGUGUGUUACGACCCACAAAUUUUAGGGUGUGAUUAUCAGAAGAAGUUACUCCGGGGAUAACAGCGUAAUCUGUCCUGACAGUUCUUAUAGAUGGGCGGGUUUGCGACCUCGAUGUUGGCUCUGGAUAUCCUAAGGCUUGUAGGCCGGUCUUUAGGGUUGGUUCGUUCGCCCAUGAAAAUCCAACGUGAUCUGAGUUCAAAACCGG